rnacentral:rRNA from 1 species
UACAGAGGGUGCGAGCGUUGUCCGGAAUCACUGGGCGUAAAGCGCACGUAGGCGGCUUUGUAAGUUAGAGGUGAAAGCCCGGGGCUCAACUCCGGAAUUGCCUUUAAGACUGCAUCGCUAGAAUCAUGGAGAGGUGAGUGGAAUUCCGAGUGUAGAGGUGAAAUUCGUAGAUAGUGGGGAGGAACACCGGUGGCGAAGGCGGCAUCCUGGACCGGUAUUGACGCUGAGGCGCGAAAGCGUGGGGAGCAAACAGG